UUCAAGCACCUCUUUUCUAUUUUUGCUUCUCUGAAACCACUUUGAUCCGUAAGUGUUAACAUGGUAGAAGGUGAUGUAGUGCUUCAAAGUGGGCUGAGUCUCGAAGAUAAUCCUCCAAAGGUGAUGUAGUUGCAGAAACAAAUCCUUCUCAGAAGAUAAUCUAGAGAAAGCCUAUAUGAUCGUAUCAUUACCUAAUUUGUCAAUUUUCUCAUGUGAUAUCUAGGGUUUUUGAUUCGUUGUUAUUUCGAAUUGGGAAUUUCCUCCUGUUUGUGGAUCCUGAUAAAACUCGUAACAUUGUUGCAAUUUAGAGUGUAUUAGGUUUAGGCAAAAUUAGUGUUUUUCCAAAUUGGGGGUUUUCUGGGUUUAGCAAAUUCUAGGGUUUUGUGCCUUUACGUCUCAGCCAACAACUGUUGCUGCUGAUGAUGUUAUUCCUACUCCUCCACCUUUUGCACCUGCAAUAGUAAUUUCAACUCCACCAUCAACUUUUGAUUCCUGCCGAGGGACUGUGGUUUGUCCUACAGUUUGGGCAUGAUGUUGUCUAUGUUAUCACCUAAGUGACUUAAAGAUGCAGUUCAAUCCCAAGUCAUUUCUCCCAUGUGAGCAACAAUGUCAUAUUUACUAGCAGCUGCCUGUUUUGGACUUGGAAAGGAGCCAAGAUGUACUCAAAGAAGAUUUAGCUACUGAAGCAAAAAAGAACACAGCUUCUUUUAAGUAAUAGUCAACAAGUGAAGCUUGGUAAAAUCUCUAUCAUGUAUCCUUACCUAAUUGAUGUUCAUGUGUUGGUACCUAAGAACCUUAUCAGGAAGUUUGAAGUGUAUCAUUGACCAGUUGAACCAUCCAUCUGCAAAGCCUUGCUUUUGUCCCGCAAAGAAUGAAAAAGUGCCAACUUCAAGCUCUACACAAAGGUUAAACCUCUCACGCUUAAUUCAAUUGACAUCCCUUGCAACAAAUUCUGUUUUACAAAUUUGGAGGAUCUACUAAAGGAUCGGCAACACCUAGCUCACGGAUCCUUCAUUCUGAUAAAAGAAAAGCAAUGUUCACAAUAAUCUAUUAAGCAAUUGCUUUCAGAAAGUGAAGUUUAUCAGACCUCUGCCUUCUCCCACUACUCCUUCAUCAGGUCUUGUUACAUGAUGUAAUAUCCACAAAAACAACUGAUGUGGUGAAGAAAACUCCAAUUCAUUUCAAUGUUGUAAUAUCCACAGAAACAGCUGAUGUCGCAAUCGGGGCUGUCAAAAUACACGGAACGAGUUGUUCAGUUUAUUUUGGAUCAGUUGCGAUUUUUUGAAACGUUUGGCAACCGAGGUAUACCAAAAGUUGACACAAUUAUUAGCCUAAACACUCAGCGCACUCGAAGGCACCAUCGACACCAUCAAAGUUUCUGUUUGGGGUCCAACCAGUUAACUCACGGGUUCACAUGAAUAACUUCAACAUGCUAAAAUUAAUUACAUGAUCUGAAGUUGUGUUGGGUUGUCUGAGUUUUUCUAACGAGAAUUAAGAAUCAUUAGCCUCAGUCACCAUUGCCACCACCAGGCCUGUUUUAGUUGAAUACUCGAUGGCGCAGUCACAAAGAUCCGUCUUCUUACUAGCAACAACAGGUUGCUGCUCUUACCCUUUCUACGGGAGGGAACAGGAAGGGAAGGGCUGAGAAAGCGAAGGAUGGUGAAUAUUUACUUCUUUUUAAAUCCGAUAUGCACUUCAAAUUCGAGGGGGAGAUGAUGCCUGAGAUUGAAGAACUUCAAUCUAAUUUACUCUAAUUGGGAAACUAAAUUUCUCCACCCAGUUGUUAUUUAGAGCAAAGAGCACAGAUGCAGUCCUCUUCUUGACUGACUCUUGUACAAUUAGCUGUGCUAUUUCCAAGACUAAAUGACACUAACGUUGAUUCAAAAACAUUGUUGAGGCCACUGGAUGAUGUUGAUAUGGAAGGAAAGUCUUCUGCAUAGUGUUAUCCCUUCAACUGCCAUCCGAGAUAUCUACGAUGUACAUCAAAAUGCUCAAUUUUACUACGACUGCAUCUAAAUUAUGUAAAAGCUUACUUUUGGCUUUUAAGAUUUUAUCCAUCUUUGUAAGAUCUAUCAAAGGUGCAUUUUAAGGAUGAGAAACGGGUGUUGCAUUAGUUUGUUGAAGUCUGUUGUCCAGUCUGAAGAGUUCCUUGUAGACUCUAAUAGUUGUGUAAAAAAGUGGAUGCUGCAUUUCUCAGCUUAGCCUGAUAUAUAUAGCUAUAAUGCCGCAUCUCCCUUUUGACUACAUAUCAUCUGAAGAAACCAACAGAAAUACGUGAAGAGGCUGAGCAUGCAUAUUCAUCUGAAGAACCCCAUGGAAGAGGCUGAGAAUGCAUAUGAAGCAGGGUUAUAUGUGCAUAUGAAGCAGGGUGUUAGGUACUCUUCUGGCUAUCCGUUCAUGAGCAAACAAUUAUAUUUGUUGUCUUAGCUCAAAUGGCUCAUGGUGUUUACCAUGUAGUUGUGGGUUCGACUCCCACAGAUGGCAUAGCUGUAUGACUAAGCCAAAACGUUAUAUGCAUUCCGUAUACAUAGGUAUACACAUGCAGAAAACUUUUCAUGUCUGUAUUUUCUCUGUCAAACAAAAACCAAUAUUUUUUUCUCAGCACUUCCUUCUGGAGGUCAGUAUGUUGGAAGUUUUUUUUUCUUUUCGGUGA